GACGAACGCUGGCGGCGUGCUUAACACAUGCAAGUCGAACGGAAAGGCCCUGCUUUUGUGGGGUGCUCGAGUGGCGAACGGGUGAGUAACACGUGAGUAACCUGCCCUUGACUUUGGGAUAACUUCAGGAAACUGGGGCUAAUACCGGAUAGGAGCUCCUGCUGCAUGGUGGGGGUUGGAAAGUUUCGGCGGUUGGGGAUGGACUCGCGGCUUAUCAGCUUGUUGGUGGGGUAGUGGCUUACCAAGGCUUUGACGGGUAGCCGGCCUGAGAGGGUGACCGGCCACAAUGGGACUGAGAUACGGCCCAGACUCCUACGGGAGGCAGCAGUGGGGAAUAUUGCACAAUGGGCGGAAGCCUGAUGCAGCAACGCCGCGUGCGGGAUGACGGCCUUCGGGUUGUAAACCGCUUUCGCCUGUGACGAAGCGUGAGUGACGGUAAUGGGUAAAGAAGCACCGGCUAACUACG
rnacentral:rRNA from 1 species